rnacentral:rRNA from 1 species
GACGAACGCUGGCGGCGUGCCUAAUACAUGCAAGUUGAGCGCUGAAGGUUGGUACUUGUACCAACUGGAUGAGCAGCGAACGGGUGAGUAACGCGUGGGGAAUCUGCCUUUGAGCGGGGGACAACAUUUGGAAACGAAUGCUAAUACCGCAUAAAAACUUUAAACACAAGUUUUAAGUUUGAAAGAUGCAAUUGCAUCACUCAAAGAUGAUCCCGCGUUGUAUUAGCUAGUUGGUGAGGUAAAGGCUCACCAAGGCGAUGAUACAUAGCCGACCUGAGAGGGUGGUCGGCCGCAUUGGGACUGUGACACGCCCCAAACGCCUACGGGAGGCAGCAGUAGGGCAUCGUCGGCAAUGGGCGGAAGUCUGACCGCGCAACGCCGCGUGAGGGUAGAAGGUUUUCGGGUCGGAAAACUCGGUUGGUAGAGAAGAACGCUGGUGAGAGUGGAAAGCACAGCAAGUGACGGUAACUACUCAGAAAGGGACGGCUAACUACGUG